CCCUUGUGGAGGAGGACGCCGAAGGUGGGGCUAAUGACUGGGGUGAAGUCGUAACAAGGUAGCCGUACCGGAAGGUGCGGCUGGAUCACCUCCUAACAGGGAGACAACAAAAUGUUUAAUAUUAAUUUUGUCACCUUAGGUCGAUCGGUAUCUCACAUUCUUAAUCAAUUUAAGAAUUUCAUAUCCUAAGUUUUUUCUAGGUCACACCCAUUACUUUUCCUGGGCCAUUAGCUCAGGUGGUUAGAGCGCACCCCUGAUAAGGGUGAGGUCCCUGGUUCAAGUCCAGGAUGGCCCAUAUCUCUAUGUUGGGGGUAUAGCUCAGUUGGUAGAGCGCCUGCUUUGCAAGCAGGAUGUCAGCGGUUCGAGUCCGCUUACCUCCACUGAUUACCACCUCUUCCAUGAUUUAAGGAAACGUUUUGUGUUGUGAUCAAAUUCUGAACGAAUCUAGCUUCCUAAUAAACACUAUUAAGAUGCUGGAAUCAUUGAAUUAAUUUCAUUGUUUUCAGAGAACCUUGACAACUGCAUAGAUUAUUUUAAAGACAAUAAGCAUCUUUAUGAUGCAGAUUUAUUAUUUGUGCAAAUGCAUUAAUAACAAUUCUAUUAAGCUGAUGCUUCAAUUUUUGAAGUUAUUGGUCAAGCUACAAAGGGCUCACGGAGGAUACCUAGGCACACAGAG
rnacentral:misc_RNA from 1 species